rnacentral:lncRNA from 1 species
AUUUCUUCCCCCUCUUUCUCACUCUCGCUCUCUCGUCAACGAUCUGCAAGACAGCAAGCACGACCAUUCUCUCACUCUCGCCACCAAAAUCCCUCUCUCUCUCGUGUCUCUUUGAGCCCUUGAUGCGAAGCCGCCUUUCUUCCAUCGACAAUCAACGACGCAGCCGAAACGAGAGUACAACAGGCAGCCGGGGAAUCUUUUUGGAAGAAGAAGGCGUAGACCACUUAGCACUGAACCGUGAACUCUCUGAAGUAGUGAAGUUCAUUCGGCAGUAAGUGAGAGAAGAAGUUCAUUCGGUCAAUAGAAGAAGGUGAAGCCCAAAAGCCCUUUCAUUUCUCAUUUCUUUUUAUUUAUUUAGUACGAGUAAGAUGGACCUGUACAACAUCUUUGGAAGGCAGUUUAAGAUGAGUUUAAGCAGUUUAACAUAUUUGAACGUUAAUCGUGAGCAAAAUGAAUUUAUAUAAUUUGUUUGAUUGCUCGAGCUUGAGGGGGUUGGAUUUAUACAUUUUAGUCAUUUUGCCGUCGAUUUUCCGUUAAAUUAAUAGUUUUCAAGAUCUAUUUUAUUAGGGACAAUAAUAUGCGAGUAAUUUUGUUUUUUUAUCUUUAUUGUACAUUAUCAGUACUGGUUAUGUCUACUUAUGUUUGGUGCUUUUAUUUGGUGACAGUGAUGAAAGUCAAUGAAGUAGAAGUUACUCUUAAUUGCAAGUGGUUAUAAUUAUUUUUGUAGGUUCCUGUUCUUUUAUUGUGUGUUUGUAGGUUCCUCUAUACUGCAUCUUAUUCCUUAUUCCGUUUUGCUAGUGGAGUAAGGAUUUAAAACUUAGUGGUGAAGCUGCAGUAGAAAAAAUCACUUUGGAUGGUGUUCGAGGGCUGCGUACUAUGAUAUGUACAUAUAGAAAUAUGCAGUAAUUGUAUAUAUAAAAUUUUCUUGUAAACCAAGUUUAUUCAAUUCCAUCGAGAUCCCUUUAUUCUCAGUGGAUCUGAAGAAAAUUGAAGGAUCAGAAAAUAUUUUGGUGGUCUGGGUUCAGAGUGUUAUUUAGUAUGAUUCAAAUAUGAGCAAGUUACAAAAGUGUUCAAUUUUUAGCAGAAACAACGAGAUAAUGACUUUACUUCAUAAAUUUUGAUGAUUUGAGUUUGUGUUGGCUCAGAUCUUUGCUCAAUGUGAACGUUAUGGUCGAAUUUGAUUUUUCUUUUCUUAUAAUCGUUGAAUUGAACUUUAAAUUGUUUGACUAUCUUGUAGAGGUGAGUGUUACUUGAGAAAAUAAAUUUUUAAGUAUGAUUUCUUGCCUGAUAUGUUCUGGACUGUAUAAAAGAAGCUCUUAUGAUGAUUUUUAAAUUGCGCUUUUAGUAUCUGGUGUGCGGUUGAGCUUGAAAUUGAUCUGCAUUUUAUUAGGAUGAAGUUAAAGAUUGUUGUUUUAUAUAUCAAUCCACUUGCUAUAUAAAUUGAAAAUCAAUUGAUUUGAUGUGGAUAUAAUCACUUAGGUUGUGAAAUUGAAUUAGUUGUGUAAUGACAGUAUUAAUUGUAGAUUGCGUAAAGUCCAGGAAAGAUGAUUAAUUUUUUUAUUUGAAAAUGAGCAGACUGUGUUACCAUGGUUAUUUUGAGUAUUGGACUCGAACAGUUACCCACUGUAUGCUGCUUGUAGUUUAGAGGAAGCGCUCAGGUUUAAAGCAAAUGCUGAGAAGAAGUUUGCUGAGAGAAAUUUUGUUGGUGCAAGGAAUUAAGCUUUUAAAGCUCAGAUGUCCUGUCCUGAACUGGAGGGUGUUUCUCAAAUGGUGGCAAAUUUUGGAGUUUACAUUGCUUCAGAGGCAAAAAUUAAUGGAGAAUUUGAUUUCUAUUCAAUUCUUGGAAUGGAUCCAUCCGCAGACAAGUCUAAGUUGAAGAAACGGUACAAGAAGAUGGCAAUGUUGCUUCAUCUCGAUAAGAACAAAACUGUGGGUGUUAACGGAGAAAAGGUAAUUGCUGAAGGGAGUUUUAAAGAAUUACGUAGUCUAGUUUUUGUAUUUAUAGGCUAACUUGUUUUCUUUGAUACAAGUAAUUUCGUUUUUUCAAGUGUGUAAGAAGGAUUUGUGAUGAGGAAUUUAUUACUCAUUUUUAUUGCAUAAAUAAAUUUAACAAUUAAUGUGAAAUGAUUUUUAUAUAUGUAAAGU